UAAAAAGAACCUAAUUGUAGGUUACAGUUUCGACCUGUAGUAUGAAAUUUUAUUCCUUUUUAA
rnacentral:tRNA from 1 species